AAAUGUACGACUGCGUGCGGAUACGUCUCUGUCUCGUCAACCUGUGGAUAUCAAGCUACCUUUCAUACAAUUAUACGUAGUUAUCUGUAAAAGUGUAAUUCGUUAAUGUGAAUAUACACUUACGCGUGUAAAUACAUAGUUUUUCUAGCGUUUAGAUUGAAAAUUGCAUACAUUGUGUGUAAUUUGUGACAUCUCAACAAAUAAUCACCAGUAAAGCACGAAAUUGCAUCAGCCAGUCCACUUUCAAGUUCUAAGGGAGACGUGAAACAGUGAAAACGUGGCGUAAGAAAGCUGUCUCUACCACUGCGCUGCCCAACCACCGGCCAAGGUUAUACAUUGGUCCCUGUCGAGCUCUUUCAACUGCUAUUGCUGUAACUGCAACAUGUCUUUUCUCCUCCCUUCUGUGUCCAUAUUCAGAUCCAAAACCAUGUCUAAAGCACUCGCUAAAGCAGACCACACUGCUACCCAGCUGGACCAUGCAGAAGGAGACACUGCUGAAAACAAGACCAUAAACAGUGACGCCAACGAGUGUAGGCAACUGGCCAAAGAUUACGCAACAAUGAAAUCUCGUCAAUGUGGCACAUUUUACGACACUCGUGUCACUUGUGUAGUGCCGGUGAUGAUAGGUACAAAAAUAGUAGGGAUGCAUCUUGUUACAGGAUCACCACCUAAUAUAAUAAACCAACAAGCCAUUGACAGCAUACGACAAGUUGCGCCAGAUUGUGUGGACACAAUUCAGCUGGAUAGUGCACUCGAGCUACAAAUGGUUGAUUGUACAAUCAUAAAAACUGAUACCAUCGUAGUUUUAAUAAAAAUGGCCUUUGGAUCUGAAAUUCUUCGCAUGCCUUUCUACAUAAUAGAAUCUAAAACUACAGAACCCAUAUUCAGUAUGGGCGCAACAUCGAUGGAGUAUUACGGGAUCAGUCCGUACAUUCGUGAAAGAUGCGCAAUUUGCCAACCAUCAGGCAAAAAAGCGUUCUUGGUUCCAUACCUCAAACCUGAUCAAUAUGCUGAUGCGCUGUCUCUCUUCAACGUCGAACAUUUAGAGACAUACGCGCGCGACGAAAUUGCACAGGAAAUGGGUAUCAAGCGCAUAAUAUGUAAUACGUAUUAUGUAAUUUAAUUAUAAAAUUUAAAAAUUAGGCUACAAGUAGGUAUACAAAUAGUUUAUAUUCUCAAACAUGAACAAGGUAAUUAAAAUAUUACGCUAAAUCAUAGCUUUUCAUUCUUACCAAAAUGAACGCUCCAGCUAGACUUCUAAAUUCCAACCAACUUCAGGUCCUCCUUUCCGAUGACCCUUCUCAUACAGACGAUGUCAUCAAAUUUCUGUACUCCACAAAAUUGGAUAAAAAAAUUUAAAAUUCAAAUUUAAAACCCAGAUAGCCCAUCUCACUAUAUGUAGGUAUUUAAUUGUAAGUAACUUUAUUUCUAAAUAUAAAUAAUGUAUGUAUACCCUAAUCAAGUAAUCAUAGUUUGUCUUAAUAAUGUAGAGCCUCUAGCCUAAGCUGCUGUAAAUGGCUCUUAAUAAAUAAAUAAAUAAAUAAAUUUCAAGUUU